ensembl:misc_RNA Metazoa_SRP Metazoan signal recognition particle RNA
GUUGGGUAUGGUGGUGUGUGCCUGUAGUCCCAGCUACUCAGGAGGCUGAGGCAGGAGGAUCACUUGAGCCUGGGAGGUCGAGAUUGCAGUGAGCUGUGAUCACCCCACUGAACUCUGGCCUGGGCAACAGAGUGAGACCCUGUCUCGA